UAUAAGAUUACCUGUUGUGAGUCUGUGGUCACUUGUUUGAGGAAGUGCACAAACAGGAGUCACCAUGGAUUGCCCAGGUUCUAAGAAGAAGAGCAAGGAUGGCAAGGAUAAAUGUGGAACCAAAGACAAGAAAAAGGAGAAGGGCUGCAAAGGUGGCAAGAAAGAAAAGAAGCACAAGGACAAGAAGGAGGGGAAGAAAUCAGACGACUCCUCGUCUUCAUCCUCCAGCAGCAGUGAUGAGGAGUGAUGCGUCCUGAGGGACCCGACUGCUCUCUCCGUCUCGUCGUUGAAACAACUGUACUUCCUGGAAACCUACUUGUGUUGUGUAAACAAAUGUGUUGAUUCCUAGAAGUAAAUGUUCUGACAAAAAAUAUAAGUUAUUCUGUCAAGUAAAGUUUAUUUCCUUCACCA